GCAAGCCUUGUGGAUAUCACAACAAACCUACAAUAGUUUUUGACAAGAUAUUGACUAGGCAUGAAGAAAGGCAUAUGUGGUAUUUUGAAUACUGAGCUACCUUCAUUCAAGAUUCGAACUAAUCUAAUUGGCCAGAAAAGUAUUAAAAUUGGUGGGAUUCCCUCCAUUGCUUUUUUUAGACACAAAUAAAAUUGGCCAGGCC
rnacentral:lncRNA from 1 species